rnacentral:rRNA from 1 species
GACGAACGCUGGCGGCGUGCUUAACACAUGCAAGUCGAACGGAAAGGCCCUGCUUUUGUGGGGUGCUCGAGUGGCGAACGGGUGAGUAACACGUGAGUAACCUGCCCUUGACUUUGGGAUAACUUCAGGAAACUGGGGCUAAUACCGGAUAGGAGCUCCUGCAGCAUGGUGGGGGUUGGAAAGUUUCGGCGGUUGGGGAUGGACUCGCGGCUUACCAGCUUGUUGGUGGGGUAGUGGCUUACCAAGGCUUUGACGGGUAGCCGGCCUGAGAGGGUGACCGGCCACAUUGGGACUGAGAUACGGCCCAGACUCCUACGGGAGGCAGCGGUGGGGAAUAUUGCACAAUGGGCGGAAGCCUGAUGCAGCAACGCCGCGUGCGGGAUGACGGCCUUCGGGUUGUAAACCGCUUUCGCCUGUGACGAAGCGUGAGUGACGGUAAUGGGUAAAGAAGCACCGGCUAACUACGUG